GCUGGGCAUGGUGGCGCUUGCCUGUAAUCCCAGCUACUUGGGAGGCUGAGGCUCAAGAAUUGCUUGCACCUGGGAGAUGGAGGUUGCAGUAAGCCGAGAUCGGGCCACUGUCCUCCAGCCUGGGUGACAGAGCGAGAAUCUGUCUCAA
rnacentral:SRP_RNA from 1 species